rnacentral:rRNA from 1 species
GACGAACGCUGGCGGCGUGCUUAACACAUGCAAGUCGAACGGAAAGGCCCUGCUUUUGUGGGGUGCUCGAGUGGCGAACGGGUGAGUAACACGUGAGUAACCUGCCCUUGACUUUGGGAUAACUUCAGGAAACUGGGGCUAAUACCGGAUAGGAGCUCCUGCUGCAUGGUGGGGGUUGGAAAGUUUCGGCGGUUGGGGAUGGACUCGCGGCUUAUCAGCUUGUUGGUGGGGUAGUGGCUUACCAAGGCUUUGACGGGUAGCCGGCCUGAGGGGGUGACCGGCCACAUUGGGACUGAGAUACGGCCCAGACUCCUACGGGAGGCGGCAGUGGGGAAUAUUGCACAAUGGGCGGAAGCCUGAUGCAGCAACGCCGCGUGCGGGAUGACGGCCUUCGGGUUGUAAACCGCUUUCGCCUGUGACGAAGCGUGAGUGACGGUAAUGGGUAAAGAAGCACCGGCUAACUACGUG